UGAAACCCUGACUUUACUAAAAUACAAAAAAUUAGCCAGGUGUGAGCCACCACAACCAGCCUCAUUGUCUUUUUUUUUUUUUUUAAUUUAAGUUCUAGGGUACGUGUGCACAAUGUGCAGGUUUGUUACAUGUGUAUACAUGUGCCAUGCUGGUGUGCUGUACCAGUUAACUCGUCAUUUGCAUUAGGUAUAUCUCCUAAUGCUAUCCCUCCCCCUUCCCCCACCCCAUGACAGGCCUCAGUGUGUGAUGUUCCCCACCCUGCGUCCAAAAUGAAACUGGCUACUUGUGUCUUACUGUCUUUAGCAAGAAUUCUAAAGGCUUUGCAUAGCUGCCAUGAGUUGGCUCUUGUUAAAUUACAGUGGUUUGCUUUUUAAAAAUAUCUUUUUUAGCAGCAACAAAAAAGAAAAUAUAUGUGGAACGGACUUGUAUUCUCAAUUAAGAAUAUCCACAUAGCCAAAUAAUACAUGAAUUUUCAGAAUGGGAUGCUGUGAAUUGUGUGAAAUAAAGUACAGACUGAAAGAAAAUUGAUAUGCUUGAGACAUGUUUUGGGUAGAUGUUAUAGGUUCUUCCUGGUCCUUUUCAGCACAGUGUUUUCUUUUUUGAAGACCAGAUUCUUUUUGUAUGUUUGUAUGAUCUUCUCUUCAAUAAGGCAAUCUCCUGUAGUUGGGCUUGAUGAAAUUAAAUUAUGUUUUAUUUAUUUCAGAAUAACCACAAUCACUAUAGAAAAAGGAGGGGAUUUUUUCCUUUCCACUGUUUCUCCCUGCACCUGAACCAUCAAAGGAGAAAACCACAGCUGUUCAUGUUUUAGUACAUUCUGAUAAGACCAAUUUAUCUACCUAGCAAACAAUUGUAAGCAAAAGUUUGAAGCCAGAGUGAAUGUCCAACAAUUAUUUCAGGUCGGGAUGGCACAAGACUACUAAAUUGUGUGUUGGCAAAGUAGUGCUGUGUAUCUGGAGUUGGAAGAAGAGAAUGGGAAACAGAUGCCUUGCUUUCUAAUAAAGAAGCUGAAUUUGGGGCAACCGCAUUCCAGAUGAAUAAGAAGAGAUAUGGCAGCUGCCACCUUCUGUUUUUAACAGUGCCUUCA
rnacentral:lncRNA from 1 species